ACCAGCUGUCUGAAAACGUUAACAUCCUUGACCUGGUAAAGUCCAACCCGUGGCUACCGAACUGAGAAGAACAAUGCUUUAUUCUUCCAAGAGCCAGUUUGAACACAGGAGUUCCGCCUGCAGCGUGCGUCACAGCAGCCCAGCCUCAGGGUGGUCUCUUAAGACAAAGCCCGUGUCCAAAUCCUGACCUUUCCUCCUCUACCAGGUACAUCCGACCCACACCCCGUGGGUCUCCUGCAAUCAAGGACAAUCGGGAAUGCACGGUUUACAGCCCUACUUGAGGUCAGAACAGCAUUGACCUCUCUACAUGGCUCAAGAUGACCUUGGAUUUCUGCUCUUCCUGCUGGAACUACAGGAUUUUACUUCGGCACCAAGGCAGAUAUCCCGCGAGCUGAUGCAGCAGGAGCUGCAGAGCCCCUCACCCGUCUGGGUGCCUGGGAAUGUUGCAGUGGCUGCAGCUGUGG